UACGAAGGGAGCUAGCGUUGUUCGGAAUCACUGGGCGUAAAGCGCACGUAGGCGGAUUUGUCAGUCAGGGGUGAAAUCCCGGGGCUCAACCUCGGAACUGCCUUUGAUACAGCAAGUCUUGAGUUCGAGAGAGGUGGGUGGAAGUUCCUAGUGUAGAGGUGAAAUUCGUAGAUAUUCGCAAGAACACCAGUGGCGAAGGCGGCUCACUGGCCCCGAUACUGACGCUGAGGCACGAAAGCGUGGGGAGCAAACAGG
rnacentral:rRNA from 1 species